GAGGUUGUGGCUCAGUGGUAGAGCAUGCGUCUAGUAGGUGUGAGGCACUGGGUUCAAUCCUCAGUACCACA
rnacentral:tRNA from 1 species